rnacentral:rRNA from 1 species
UUAAUGUUUGAUGUUCUAACGUGGACCCGUAAUCCGGGUUGCGGACAGUGUCUGGUGGGUAGUUUGACUGGGGCUGUCUCCUCCUAAAGAGUAACGGAGGAGCACGAUGGUUGGCUAAUCCUGGUCGGACAUCAGGAGGUUAGUGCAAUGGCAUAUGCCAGCUUGACUGCGAGCGUGACGGCGCGAGCAGGUGCGAAAGCAGGCCAUUGUGAUCCGGUGGUUCUGAAUGGAAGGGCCAUCGCUC